rnacentral:snRNA from 1 species
UCCAGUAAUACAGAGAAGAUUAGCGUGGCCCCUGUGCAAGGAUGACAAGCAAAUUCAUGAAGUGUUCCAUAAUAAA